AAACUUGAGAGUUUGAUCAUGGCUCAGAACGUACGCUGGCGGCACGCCUAACACAUGCAAGUCGAACGAAGUAGCAAUACUUAGUGGCAGACGGGUGAGUAACAUGUAGGUAUCUACCCUUUGGCCUGGAAUAACACGAGGAAACUUGUGCUAAUACCGGAUAAGUCUUUACGGAGAAAGCUUUAUGCACCAUUGGAUGAGCCUGCACUUGAUUAGUUUGUUGGUGGGGUAAUGGCCUACCAAGACUGUGAUCAAUAGCUGAUUUGAGAGGAUGAUCAGCCACAUUGGGACUGAGACACGGCCCAAACUCCUACGGGAGGCAGCAGUGGGGAAUCUUGCACAAUGGAGGAAACUCUGAUGCAGCGAUGCCGCGUGAGUGAAGAAGGCCUUUGGGUUGUAAAGCUCUUUCGUCGGGGAAGAAAAUGACUGUACCCGAAUAAGAAGGUCCGGCUAACUUCGUGCCAGCAGCCGCGGUAAUACGAAGGGACCUAGCGUAGUUCGGAAUUACUGGGCUUAAAGAGUUCGUAGGUGGUUGAAAAAGUUAGUGGUGAAAUCCCAGAGCUUAACUCUGGAACUGCCAUUAAAACUUUUCAGCUAGAGUAUGAUAGAGGAAAGCAGAAUUUCUAGUGUAGAGGUGAAAUUCGUAGAUAUUAGAAAGAAUACCAAUUGCGAAGGCAGCUUUCUGGAUCAUUACUGACACUGAGGAACGAAAGCAUGGGUAGCGAAGAGGAUUAGAUACCCUCGUAGUCCAUGCCGUAAACGAUGUGUGUUAGACGUUGGAAAUUUAUUUUCAGUGUCGCAGGGAAACCGAUAAACACACCGCCUGGGGAGUACGACCGCAAGGUUAAAACUCAAAUGAAUUGACGGGGACCCGCACAAGUAGUGGAGCAUGUGGUUUAAUUCGAAGAUACGCGCAGAACCUUACCAACACUUGACAUGUUCGUCGCGACUCUAAGAGAUUAGAGUUUUCGGUUCGGCCGGACGAAACACAGGUGCUGCAUGGCUGUCGUCAGCUCGUGUCGUGAGAUGUUGGGUUAAGUCCCGCAACGAGCGCAACCCUCACUUUUAGUUGCCAUCAUUAAGUUGGGCACUCUGAAAGAACUGCCAGUGAUAAGCUGGAGGAAGGUGGGGAUGACGUCAAGUCCUCAUGGCCCUUACGUGUUGGGCUACACACGUGCUACAAUGGUAUCUACAACAGGAAGCAAGACUGCGAAGUUAAGCAAAUCCCUAAAAGAUACCUCAGUUCGGAUUGCACUCUGCAACUCGAGUGCAUGAAGCUGGAAUUACUAGUAAUCGUGGAUCAGCGUGCCACGGUGAAUGCGUUCCCGGGUCUUGUACACACCGCCCGUCACACCAUGGGAGUUGGUUCUACCUUAAGGCAAGGCUUCAAACCCUUGACCACGGUAUAGUCAGCGACUGGGGUGAAGUCGUAACAAGGUAGCCGUAGGGGAACCUGCGGCUGGAUUACCUCCUUU
rnacentral:rRNA from 1 species